rnacentral:rRNA from 1 species
CCUACGGGAGGCAGCAGUGGGGAAUAUUGCACAAUGGGGGAAACCCUGAUGCAGCGACGCCGCGCGAGUGAAGAAGUAUUUCGGUAUGUAAAGCUCUAUCAGCAGGGAAGAGAAUGACGGUACCUGAGUAAGAAGCCCCGGCUAACUACGUGCCAGCAGCCGCGGUAAUACGUAGGGGGCAAGCGUUAUCCGGAUUUACUGGGUGUAAAGGGAGCGCAGGCGGCACGGCAAGCCUGAUGUGAAAGCCCGCGGCCCAACCGCGGGACUGCAUUGG